GGAUGCUUCAUUCAAAUAUCUGCCCUAUCAACUUUCGAUGGUAGGGUCGUGGCCUACCAUGGUUUCAACGGGUAACGGGGAAUAAGGGUUCGAUUCCGGAGAGGGAGCCUGAGAAACGGCUACCACAUCCAAGGAAGGCAGCAGGCGCGCAAAUUACCCAAUCCCGAUACGGGGAGGUAGUGACAAUAAAUAACAAUAUAGGGCUCUUUUGGGUCUUAUAAUUGGAAUGAGUACAAUUUAAAUCCCUUAACGAGGAACAAUUGGAGGGCAAGUCUGGUGCCAGCAGCCGCGGUAAUUCCAGCUCCAAUAGCGUAUAUUAAAGUUGUUGCAGUUAAAAAGCUCGUAGUUGAACUUCAGGCUCGGAUCGGCGGUCCGCCUCACGGCGUGUACUGUCGACUCGGGCCUUACCUCUUGGUGAACCCGUAUGGCCUUCACUGGCUGUGCGGGCGAACCAGGACCUUUACCUUGAGAAAAUUAGAGUGUUCAAAGCAGGCCUACGCCUGAAUACGUUAGCAUGGAAUAAUAGAAUAGGACGUGCGGUUCUAUUUUGUGGUUUCUAGAGUCGCCGUAAUGAUUAUAGGGACGGUUGGGGGCAUUAGUAUUCAGUGCUAGAGGUGAAUCUUAGAUUU
rnacentral:rRNA from 1 species